rnacentral:rRNA from 1 species
CAAGUCUGGUGCCAGCAGCCGCGGUAAUUCCAACUCCAAUAGCGUAUAUUAAAGUUGUUGCAGUUAAAAGCUCGUAGUUGAAUUUCGGGACUAAUAUGUCGGUCGUACUUUGUACGUACUAGCAUUAUUGGUUUCUCCCUUCUGACGAACCACGAUGUCAUUAAUUUGGUGUCGCGGGAAAUCAGGACUGUUACUUUGAAAAAAUUAGAGUGUUUAAAGCAAGGCUCGCGCUUGAAUACAUUAGCAUGGAAUAAUGAAAUAGGACGUUUGAUUCUAUUUUAGUUGGUUUCUAGGAUCGACGUAAUGAUUAAUAGGGAUAGUUGGGGGCAUUAGUAUUCAAUUGUCAGAGGUGAAAUUCUUGGAUUUAUUGAAGACUAACUACUGUGAAAGCAUUUGCCAAGGAUGUUUUCAUUAAUCAAGAACGAAAGUUAGGGGAUCGAAGACGAUCAGAUACCGUCGUAGUCUUAACCAUAAACUAUGCCGACUAGGGAUCGGAUGAUGUUAAUUUUUUUAAUGACUCAUUCGGCGCCUUACG